GACGAACGCUGGCGGCGUGCUUAACACAUGCAAGUCGAACGGAAAGGCGCUGCGUUUGUGGGGUGGUCGAGUGGGGAGCGGGGGAGUAACACGUGAGUAAAAUGCACUUGACUGUGGGAGAACUUCAGGAAAAUGGGGCGAAUACCGGGUAGGAGCUCCUGCUGCGUGGGGGGGGUUGGUAAGUUACGGCGGUUGGGGAUGGACUCGCGGCUUAUGAGCUAGUUGGUGGGGUAGGUGCUGACCAAGGCUAUGACGGGUAGCCGGCCUGGGAGCGUGGCCGGGCACAAUGCUCCUACGAUACGGCGCAGACUCCUACGGGACGCAGCAGUGGGGAGCAUUGCACAAUGGGCGGAAGCCAGAUGCAGCAACGCCGCGUGCGGGAUGCCCGCUUUCGGGUUGUAAACCGCUUUCGCCUGUGCCGAAGCGUGCGUGACGGUACCGAGUCAAGAAGCACCGGCUAACUACGUG
rnacentral:rRNA from 1 species